rnacentral:rRNA from 1 species
UACGAAGGGGGCGAGCGUUGUUCGGAAUUACUGGGCGUAAAGGGCGCGUAGGCGGCCCCUUUUGUCGCGUGUGAAAGCCCGGGCCUGCACCUCGGAGCGGCGCGCGAAACGGGGGGGCUUGAGUUCGGGAGAGGAGAGUGGAAUUCCCAGUGUAGAGGUGAAAUUCGUAGAUAUUGGGAAGAACACCGGUGGCGAAGGCGGCUCUCUGGACCGAGACUGACGCUGAGGCGCGGAAAGCG